rnacentral:lncRNA from 1 species
GUUGACCAAUAUGUGUUAAGGGAACAUGAAUAAAUAUAUUUUGAUGAGCUAUACAUUCGGUUAUAGUAUGAAAUGCAAUGUUAAUACUUAGUUGCUAGUAUGUAUAUGUGUGCUAGCCGAAUUUGAACUUGAAUAAUGAUUUGAACACGAUGUAUUGUAUUGAGAUUAUGCUUAAGUGAAAUUAUAGAAUUGUGAUGAAAUUGAUUGGUGAUAUACAUGUUUUAAUAAUAUGAAUGCAAAGAGUUGUGAAAGAGUAAAUUGUAGUAAAUCUGCUUGGGACAGUAGCUGUAACGUGAAUUUGGAAAAUCACCAUAAAUUGUGG